rnacentral:lncRNA from 1 species
GCGGCGGCGGCGGCGCGCCGUCGGCGGGGCCCGAGCUGCUGUCGCCGGCCGCGGCGGCUGCGGCGAGCGCGGCCAUGGACGCCGCUGCCGAGCUCGCGGCGCCCUUGGCGGACUUGCUCUUGCGGUCCAUGGCGGCGCCGGCGGCGAGGGAGGAGGCCGGCCUGGGCGAUCGAGGUGCGGCCCGGGAGCUGGCGAUGUGGAGCUGGAGCUCUGGUGCCGUGCCUCUCAUGAGUGGAAG